UAGGGAGACAGUACCCUUCACAAUAGCCAGAAAUAUUAUAAAAUAACCUUGUAUAACUAACCAAGCAAGUAAAAGACCUGUAUGAAACAAACUUCAAGUCUCUGAAGAAAGAAAUUGAGGAAAAUAUCAGAAGAUGUAAUGAUCUCUGAUGCUCAUGGAUAAGUCAGAUUAACAUAGGGAAAUGCCCAUCAUACCAAAAACAAUCUACAGAUUCAAUGAAAUCCCCAUCAAAAUUCCAACACAAUUCUUUACAUAUCUUAAAAGAACAACUUUCAACUUCAUAUGGGAAAACAAAACCCCAGGAUAGCUAAACAAUACUUAACAGUAAAAGAACUUCUGGAGGUAUCUCUCUUCCUGACUUCAAGCUAUACUGCAAAACAAUAGUAAUAAAAUUCAUAAUAAAAUUAUGAAUAAAGCUGCUAUGAACAUGUUUGAGCAAGUCAUAAACUAGAAAUAACCUAUAUAUCCCUCAACUGAAGAAUUAAUUUGGACAAUGUGCUUCAUUUACACAAUGGGAUACUAGUCCCCCAUUAAAAACAAAGACAUCAUGAAUGUCACAGGGAAUGGACGGAAUUAGAAAAUAUCCUGAGUGAGUUAACUCAGACCCCAAAAGACAUAUCUGGUAUGUACACAUUGAUAAGUGGAUAUUAGCCACAAAGUACAGGAUAGCCAUGCUAUAAUCAACAGACCCAAAGAAGCCAAAUAAUAAGGAGUGUACAAGGGCAAAUGGUUGAAUGUUUCUCAGAAAGGGAAACAAUAUAGAUAACAGGUCAGUGUGAUGGAGGGAGGGAAGUAGGUGGAAAAGGAGUAGGUAUGGGAGCUAGGUAGGGUUGUUUUGGGGGAAAUCAUAUGUAGGGAGAGCAGGGCAGAGAAUGGAGAUCAGUGGAGGUUGGGGCAAUCUCUAGGAUGUGUCAGACAUCUGGGAUAUAUGAAGCCUCAUAGGGUCAAUGUUGGAGACUCCAUCUGAGACUCCUAGUAGUGAGGGAUAUAUAUCUUGAAGCAACCACACCUUGUAGCAUUGGAGAAUGCCAGUAGAGAGCUAUGGACAGCAAUUUACCCACAGAACCUUCAACCCAAAAUGUGUCCUGCGUACAAGAUGUUCAGGGACAAAGAUAAAGUAUAGUUUGAGGGAAUACCCAAACGAUGACUGCCCCAAAUUGAGACCCAUCCUGUGGCCAAGCACCAAUCCCUGACAUUAAUAAGUAUGCUUAUAUACAGGAACCUUGCAUAAUGGUCCUCUGAGAAGCUCCACUCAGAAGGCAAGAAAAAGAUUCAGAGAAUUAGAUGAAGUUCAGGGUGUCUUAUGAAAGAUUUGACAGAAGGUCUAGGGGAUCUGAAGAAGACAGGCACUCCACAGGAAGACCAACAGAGUCAACUAACCUAGACCCUUGGGGCCUCCUAAAGACUGAAUUACCAGUCAAAGAAUGAACAGGAACUGGACCUAGAACCCCUGAAUAUAUAUAGCAGACGGACAGGUUGGUCUUCAUGCUGGGGCUGUCUCUGAGCCUGUUUUCAAAAGAUAAAAGGAAGGUAGAAUGAAGAAAAGACUUGCCUAAGGUAGUACUGGAAGAAAAGUAAGGGCUGAUAUCUGGUUAUAAAGUGAACACAUAAAAGAGAAGAAAAGAAAGGAAAAGAAAAGAAAAAAGAAAACAAAGAAAUAUUAAAAAUAUCUUUGUUAGUAGUUUUAUGGUAAGAUAUAAAGAACAUACAAAUAUAACCUAAAAUCAUAUUGAUUAAAAUUUGUAUAGUUUUAUAUCAUGUAUUAUAAAAUUAAAAUGAUUGCCCAUAUUUCAUGAAUCUUAUAUAUGUAAUGAUCUUUUUUUAAAAAAAAAUCACAAUUUUUGAUGUCACAAUUAAGAAACAACUGAAAGAACUGAAGAAUAUUAACUCUUUUUAGAUCCACAUACAUUAUAAAACAAUAUUCAGCUUUCAUUCAUCAAAUUCUGAUAUAAAAAGAAACCCUUUGUUUUAUCAGAGGCCGAGCUUGUAAGACCCUAAGUCAGAUAGCCAAAAAUUCCCCAGAGCCUGCCCAAUUCCCCCAACAGCAUCCUCUCCCCUUGUUUUCAUAUCCCAGUCCACAAAUCCAGCAGAACUUCACUUCUCUAGCAGAAGCCAUGUGAGCCCCAAGAACUGCAAAACCACAGAGGCAACUCCUGAACACAAAACCUCAGAUGUCACACAAGCUUCCAAAACCCCAGAUGAGACAUCCUAUUGGACCUAAGGAUUCACAGGUCACGAGAAAAAACAGGCCUGUCAGGGCAAAAAACAACAAAGAAAACAGAAACUAACGGGAAAAAAUCCAACAAAGAUAAACUCAUAAAUCAGACUUAAGCCUGUAAGUACCCCAAAGACAGAUGCCUACGCAGAAGUGUAAGAGUACAAUCAACAACAGCCAUGGAAAUACGGCACCACAAGAUUCCAGCCAUCCUACUAUAGCAACCUCAUAAUCUUCCAACACAUCUGAAGCACAAGAGAAUGACCUUAAACCUGACCUGGCCUGGUUUUAAGACAAUAGAAGUUCUGAAAGAGGAAAUAACUCCCUUAAAGAGACCCAGGAAAACACUAGCAAAUAAUGGGACUAAAUGAAUAAAUCCCUUUUAGAAAUCUACAAAAACACUAAUAAACAAUGAGAAAAUUAACAAAUCUCUU
rnacentral:lncRNA from 1 species